ACUGAUGAGUUGCGAACGGGUGAGUAACGCGUAGGUAACCUGCCUCAUAGCGGGGGAUAACUAUUGGAAACGAUAGCUAAUACCGCAUAAGAGUAAUUAACACAUGUUAGUUAUUUAAAAGGAGCAAUUGCUUCACUGUGAGAUGGACCUGCGUUGUAUUAGCUAGUUGGUGAGGUAAAGGCUCACCAAGGCGACGAUACAUAGCCGACCUGAGAGGGUGAUCGGCCACACUGGGACUGAGACACGGCCCAGACUCCUACGGGAGGCAGCAGUAGGGAAUCUUCGGCAAUGGACGGAAGUCUGACCGAGCAACGCCGCGUGAGUGAAGAAGGUUUUCGGAUCGUAAAGCUCUGAUGUU
rnacentral:rRNA from 1 species